AUAGUGAUCCGGUGGUCCCGCGUGGAAGGGCCAUCGCUCAACGGAUAAAAGGUACUCCGGGGAUAACAGGCUGAUGACGCCCAAGAGUCCAUAUCGACGGCGUUGUUUGGCACCUCGAUGUCGGCUCAUCGCAUCCUGGGGCUGGAGCAGGUCCCAAGGGUUUGGCUGUUCGCCAAUUAAAGCGGUACGUGAGCUGGGUUUAGAACGUCGUGAGACAGUUUGGUCCCUAUCUGCCGUGGGUGUUGGAAACUUGAGAGGAGCUGCCCCUAGUACGAGAGGACCGGGGUGGACAUAUCUCUGGUGGAGCUGUUGUCGCGCCCGCGGCAUUGCAGCGUAGCUAAAUAUGGACAGGAUAACCGCUGAAAGCAUCUAAGCGGGAAGCCCCCCUCAAAACUAGGUUUCCCUUGAGAACCGUGGCAGACCACCACGUCGAUAGGCCGGAUGUGGAAGCGCAGCAAUGCGUGUAGCUUACCGGUACUAAUUGUUCAAUCGAUUUGAUUAU
rnacentral:rRNA from 1 species